ACACUUCACAUUAAGCGGGCAGGGCCUAUAUGGGUCCUGCCCGUUUUUCGCGGGCUAUGGCGAUAAACUGCGCUGUGCAAUAGGUACAACGGACCCGGGGGCAGUACCCGGCGGCUCCACCACAAUCCGCGCCGUUGCGCGGGUUCUGACGGGGCCGAACUAGGAUCGACGUGUGCUGAAAGACAGUGUUUUCGUCCGGGCUGAGUAUCCCGUAAAAAUGUUCACAACACACAAGUGCCAACGAUAACGAAGCACUCGCUCUCGCAGCGUAAUUUUAUGGCCUAACGGCCUGAAUUUACAAAGCUAAAGCGCGGUUGGACCCACCGGGCAACAGAAGCGGAUUCCG
rfam:Erythrobacter sp. HI00D59 HI00D59_c16, whole genome shotgun sequence.